GUGAGCCAGGUCUUGCUCUACCUCAUGGGGGUCAUCCCAGUCAUGCCUAGCCUCCCUCUCGUAGAAAAUUUCCUUAAGUCUGUUCUGCGCAGGGCUCCCGAAGUCAGGCUCUGCAAAGGACUCCCAUAACAAGCCAGGACCAUCAAACUCCUCUCCCUCUGGCAUGUCAUGCUCAGCUGUCCAGGGUAUAUACUGUGCCAUAUACCACCAGAGCGCCUGGUAGGCAUCCUCCAGCCAUAGCUCCUGCCAUACCCGAUGCUCUAGUUCCUUCACCCAUUCCUCCAGGGGC